rnacentral:rRNA from 1 species
GACGUAGGGAGCGAGCGUUGUCCGGAUUUAUUGGGCGUAAAGAGCUUGUAGGCGGUUUGUCGCGUCUGCUGUGAAAUUUCGGGGCUCAACCCCGAACUUGCAGUGGGUACGGGCAGACUAGAGUGUGGUAGGGGAGACUGGAAUUCCUGGUGUAGCGGUGAAAUGCGCAGAUAUCAGGAGGAACACCGGUGGCGAAGGCGGUGAUCUGGGCCGACACUGACGCUGUAGAGCGAAAGCGUGGGGAGCGA